CCUACGGGAGGCAGCAGUGGGGAAUAUUGGACAAUGGGCGAAAGCCUGAUCCAGCAAUGCCGCGUGAGUGAUGAAGGCCUUAGGGUUGUAAAGCUCUUUUACCAGGGAUGAUAAUGACAGUACCUGGAGAAUAAGCUCCGGCUAACUCCGUGCCAGCAGCCGCGGUAAUACGGAGGGAGCUAGCGUUGUUCGGAAUCACUGGGCGUAAAGCGUGCGUAGGCGGUGACUCAAGUCAGAGGUGAAAGCCUGGAGCUCAACUCCAGAACUGCCUUUGAAACUAGGUCGCUAGAACAUCGGAGAGGUGAGUGGAAUUCCGAGUGUAGAGGUGAAAUUCGUAGAUAUUCGGAAGAACACCAGUGGCGAAGGCGGCUCACUGGACGAUUGUUGACGCUGAGGCACGAAAGCGUGGGGAGCAAACAGGAUUAGAUACCCUUGUAGUC
rnacentral:rRNA from 1 species